AUGACUUCUUGGAAGAAAACCAUCACUACACCUUUCAAAAAAGCUUGUACUUUCUUUAAAGAUCAACCCACAAGAGAUCAUAAGAAAUCUCAAACAGAGCAAGAGAGAAGUGUGAUGGAUCUACAAGGUGAAGUAAUGGCAUGUGGAUAUGAAGAUGUUCAAGUUAUGUGGUCAAUUCUGGAUAGGACUAAAUCCACAGCCACAGAACAGAAUGCGACAUAA